CCCGGAAAUUUUUUAAAAGAACAGAGGACUAUAAACUGAAGAAAUGGCUGGAAAGUGUGCUAUACACCCAAAGUAUGUACAAACAUCAAGGGAUAGUCGGGUGGACAUAACCUAACGCCACAUAUCACUCGCCUACCUGGCCGUCUUGCCACGGUUUUGGGGUAAUGAACAACGCUUAUUUAUAUUUGAAUACAUGGCCGAAGAUCUUUUGUCAUUAAGACACCCAUUUAUUAAACAGGUCUAACACCUCUACACUCGAGAACCCCGUAAAGUAAGAUAAAUAUUAAUUCAAUUAAUGCAAUAUCUUACCUUGUAAUGGGGAUAGAGACCCGGCGGGGACACUUAUAGAAACCUUAACCAUAAUGUAAGACUCCAGUAAGGCAAACAAGGCCGUAGGUAAGGUAAUCUUUUGGUGUAGCUAAAGUAAAAUAUUACCACUAAAACUAAUGAAUCCUAAUCUAAAACAAUCUAAAAUAACCUAUCCUACCUAACUUAACCUAAAUUACAGGGCGAAGGGAAUUUUUUUUUCAUUUCCCCACCUAACCUAACCAAAAAUAACCUAACCAAACCAAACCAAACCUAACCCACUAACCUAACCUGAUUCGAAGUAUUGGGGUGGUGGUGAGGGGCAAGUAUUUUUUUUACGAACCAAAAAAUUGCCAAUUUAUAAAUAGCACAUCGAAAUCUAUAAAAAGAAAAUAGUUUCAACCCGAAAAUCCUAAUCUGACCUCUGCUAUAAUAAUUCUGCAAAAUAUUUUAGGCCAAGUAUAUACAAAGUUUAGAUGAUUGCCUUAAUUAUUGUUCACUAACCAAACCCAAGAUUUCCUAAGCUAACCUAACCUAACCUUUCCAGAAAUUACCUGCCAAAAUGGAAGGAAGGGUUUGCCACCCCCUUCCUUGUUCAAGUAGUCAUUAUGGGUAAAAGUGUAGAGUCCUUUCUCGGCGUUAUUACUGGUUUGUUUUUUUCCUCGUUUUCCCAGCACCAACAAACUUUAAGACGUGGCGGGAAGGCGGAGUUUUAGGGUGGAGGAAGCCACAUAGGGCAAAUUUGGCAAGACCCAAAAAGUCUACUGUGAAAACUAUAACAUAAGCAAAACGUUUCAGAUCUGCAGGAUUUUAGUCUUCAUACACAAGUUGUAUUUGUUAUGUAUCUCUCUUAUGGCCAUUGUUCUUUAUCUCAAAACUGUUCAUCUGCAUCUUCACUCUCCUCUUCGUCUCCCUUGUGCCUUGUGUGCCAGUACAGCCCGGAGUGCUGCUCUUCGGCUUAUGAAGAGGAUUUUGUCAGGUUGAGACAUGGAAUGUGGAAACGAGCAGUUUGGUUGGAGGGUAAGAAAGAAGAAGAGGGUGUGGUGCCAUCCAGCUGGGUAUUAGAAGAGAACCAAACCUUGUUUUGGCCACAAGGAGUUAAUGCUGAGAAUGCCCUUCAUAAUCAGCAAGAACCAGACCCUGCAUCAUGGAGAAAGUUUAUGUUGAAAAAAGUGAAGAUCACUUCUGAUAGUUUUCAAGAAUGCGAUACCAUCUGACAUCUACGGUGGAGAGUUCUGAGAGCAACAGUGAUCCUGAUGAAGGUCUACUCAUGAGAAAAAGGAGAAAACAAGCUGUCCAUAUGAAGCCAGCCUCACAGAAGCCACAGGUCACAACCUCUCAAGAUAAGGUAGCUUCUGCUCCUUCACAGGUUGUACUUCCAACACCUCCUCCUAAGGUGUCUUUGGAUAUGCGGUCCACCAGAACCCAUGGGAUGAUGGAGUGCAGUGCAACAAAAGAUUCGGUAUCCAGCAAGACAUCCAAGUCAUCUGACAACAGUGAUGGCAGUGGCCAGCAUGACAGGAGACAUCAUGACACGCCUUACCAAAAAAGAAACCAUGAUCGAGGUGACAAUCUUGACCACCAUGACAGGAGACACCAUGACACACCUCACCGAAGAAGAAGCCAUGACCAAGGUGACAGUCCCGACCACCAUGACACACCUCACCGAAGAGGAAGCCAUGACCAAGGUGACAGGAGACACCAUGACACACCUCACCGAAGAGGAAGCCAUGACCAAGGUGACAGGAGACACCAUGACACACCUCACCGAAGAAGAAGCCAUGACCAAGGUGACAGGAGACAUCAUGACACACCUUACCGAAGAAGAAGCCAUGACCAAGGUGACAGUCCCAACCACCUAUCUUACUAUAGUGACAGUCCCGACCAGCAUGACAAGAGGCACCAUGACACAUCUUACCGAAGAAGAAGCCAUGACCAAGGUGACAGUCCCGACCACCUAUCUUACUAUAGUGACAGUCCCGACCAGCAUGACAAGAGGCACCAUGACACACUUUACCGAAGAAGAAGCCAUGACCAAGGUGACAGGAGACAGCUUGACACACCUGACCGAAGUGAUAGCCCUGGCCAGCAGGAGAGGAGAUAUGAAAAACACUAUCAAAAUAGAAGUCAUGACCACUAUGACUGGGACAAUAGACGUGAUAGACACAACCAGAGAGACAACAAGAGCAGGUGUGACCCUUGUAAUGACAAUCAAAAGAAUCACAAAGGUAGCCAGGAAGAUGCUGAAUCCAGCUUCCCUCUAACUAAAGCUUACGUCCACGUGGCAAUGCCUGCCUGCCUAGGCCCCUUGAGCCCCAGUCAAGAGACGAGCACCCGUGCAGUCAGGCAGAGGAUCUCUUUAAUCUGAUGAAGACUGCGGUACGACAACAUGAGACCACUGAUUCUAGCCGGAUGGAGGGGUAGACAUGACCAUCUGGUGUAGCCGUAUGUACUUCCCUGGCAAACUGACAGCCAUGGAUCCAAAGCUCCCAAUGUACCUUGUAUGUCUGGCAGUGGUGUACUGCCAGGUGCAACGGGCUAUGCCCGAUGAAAUUCCUCAUCUUCUGUCACAGGCAGUUUACUCGUCUUUUGCAAAAGUGGAGAAAAUGUCGGCGGGCAAACAACUCGCUUCUGCCCGCUAGAGUGGAUGGAGCCUUAUAUUGCAUGGCAUAAAUUUCAGAAGCGAGUGUUACAACUUCUGCUGGACAUCAGGAAAACUGUUUCGGAUACGAGCACAUGUGAUGGUAAACCAGCUGACACAGCUUGUACUCUUACAAUCAAACGGAAUAAUUCCCUGGAAGAAGUGCAGAAUCUAGAGGAUGAAUUGGUUAAUCCCAGUGUGCAACCAGUGCGUCCGCAUAGGUGGCUAUAAUAAGAGAGAUAUGGUCUCUAAUUUGAUGUGCAGGUUUAUGACCAAAAACCUCAUGUGUCAGUAUAACAUGCUUGGGCAGAGAGGCAAGUUGUCUUUUAGAAAAACAAAGUUAUACAAUGUGAUUCAGGAGAGCGUGCUUAAAAAGUUCUCAGAUUCAAAUGUGACAGAAAUACAAAUGAUAGUUGCAGCAAAAUUGCGUAAUGUUCCAAAAUUGAAAAAUGAAAAUUAGCUGAUGUAAAAUGGUACUUACAAUCAGUUAAGAUCUGCAAGAAUGUUAAAACAAACCAAUCUUUGUCUCAUGCAUGACCUUGGUGAAGUAAAGUAUUUUCAUACCAAGAUGAACUGCAAUAGCGCAGUGAAAAAUCUAGUCAUACCCACUGCCACCAGGAGUCUAACCCGGGUCUCUUGAGUGAGAGCCAGACAGCAAGACCACUACACCACUGUGGUGUAGGGGUCUUGCUGCCUGGCUCUCACUCAAGAGACCCGGGUUCGACUUCUGGUGGCAGUGGGUAUGACUAGAUAAAGUAUUUUCAUUUUGUAUGUUACUAAAAAAAUGCUGGUAAAUUUAUCUCAUGACUGAUUGUACACAGAUGACCUUAUAUAUUGUAACUAUGUGUACAUUUCCCUUCCUCCCCCCUCUCUCUCUCUUUUAAAGAAGCUCUUUUUCUAUCAGAAUGACAAAAUUUAUUGAUGUGUAAACAGUAUAAGGGGGGAUGUUAGAGAAGCUUAAGAAUGAAAGAACCAGGACCGCCGAGAACCGAACCUCAGACAAGCUGUUCCCGCCACCACGCUAACCUGGUCCUGGUUCUUUCAACUUGUCGUUAUGGGAUUCAAGCUUAAGAAUGGUUUUAAGAUGUGGAGAGAGACUUACUGCUGUAAAAUUUGAACCGAUUGGGAUAUUACCUCAUGAUAUUUAUGUGAGAUGAUAUUAAUGAUCUCAGAUUAUAAAAGCAAACUAGUAUUAUUAACAGUGAUUUAUUUUGUAAUUUAGUAAUAGAUAUAACAUUUUAAUUUAUAAUUUUGCUUUUGCCUACCACUUAGGUUCCCAUGUAUUUUUACGUAAAUGAAAAAGUAUGGAGCUACACAAGUAUCAAUUCACAAAAUGCUUAAUUUCAUUGACAACUGUGGUCUGUAUUGUUUUAAGCAUAUUGUGUACUUGUGGCAGGCCUGGUAUUCUUUGCAUAUAUUCCCCCUGGGGCUACAUAGAUACUAGAAUGUAGCCCUCUCCAUGUCGGCUGUGUGCCGUAAGAGGCGACUGAUUCUGGCCCUGGGUGGGGAUCUCUUUUACUAGCCCAUAGCAGGUCUUUUUACCGCUUGACAUAUUUUCCCUUCUCAUUUCCCUUUGCUUUCUGUCCAUUUUCUUUUACGUUCUCUUACUUUUCCGAGUGGUGGGCUGACUCUUUGUCAGAGUGAGGGUUGGUGUCCUUUACUUCCCAUAGCCAUUUCUGUCUUUCUCUUGUUCUAUAAUUUUUAUACCUCUACUGUUUAGGGUGACACUAGGCUGGGAAUCUGCCCAUUCUUCUCUACCUUUUAUAGUCCCACUUGUGGCACAUGCCCAGGGAUAAUGCUAGGCACAAGUGCCAUGGGAACCCAUUUAUUGAGUCAUGGCCCGGGAUGGCGGAUGGUCACCCUCACAGUUCAAGGGUGGUUUCUGCUGUUCUGGACCAUGGCAUGGGGAGGUAAUGCAUAGGAGCAGGUGUCAGGCUAUGGAUGGAUUGUGGCUAAACAAAGUUUUAAUUUUUUGUAUUACUGGGAUCAUCCAUUUAUAUAUUGCAGUUAUUCUUCAUUCAAGUCAGAUAUCUUGAAAGCCUUUAUAUAUAAAAAUGCAAGCACUAACUUUUUUUUUUUUUUUCAUAAAAUAUGGAAAUUAUUUUGGUUUUGAUAUUUUUACAAGGAUGAAGAUUAUUAAAUUUAUGAAAAAGUGUAAGACUGAAGAAUAUAUAUAUACACACUUUCUGUA